GGAAGGUGCGGCGUGCUAUACAUGCAAGUCGAGCGAAUGGAUGGGAGCUUGCUCCCUGAAGUUAGCGGCGGACGGGUGAGUAACACGUGGGUAACCUGCCUGUAAGAUUGGGAUAACUCCGGGAAACCGGAGCUAAUACCGGAUAACAUUUUGAACCGCAUGGUUCAAAAUUGAAAGAUGGCUUCGGCUAUCACUUACAGAUGGACCCGCGGCGCAUUAGCUAGUUGGUGAGGUAACGGCUCACCAAGGCGACGAUGCGUAGCCGACCUGAGAGGGUGAUCGGCCACACUGGGACUGAGACACGGCCCAGACUCCUACGGGAGGCAGCAGUAGGGAAUCUUCCGCAAUGGACGAAAGUCUGACGGAGCAACGCCGCGUGAACGAUGAAGGCCUUCGGGUCGUAAAGUUCUGUUGUUAGGGAAGAACAAGUAUCAGAGUAACUGCUGGUACCUUGACGGUACCUAACCAGAAAGCCACGGCUAACUACGUGCCAGCAGCCGCGGUAAUACGUAGGUGGCAAGCGUUGUCCGGAAUUAUUGGGCAUAAAGCGCGCGCAGGCGGUUCCUUAAGUCUGAUGUGAAAGCCCACGGCUCAACCGUGGAGGGUCAUUGGAAACUGGGGAACUUGAGUGCAGAAGAGGAGAGUGGAAUUCCACGUGUAGCGGUGAAAUGCGUAGAGAUGUGGAGGAACACCAGUGGCGAAGGCGACUCUCUGGUCUGUAACUGACGCUGAGGCGCGAAAGCGUGGGGAGCGAACAGGAUUAGAUACCCUGGUAGUCCACGCCGUAAACGAUGAGUGCUAAGUGUUAGAGGGUUUCCGCCCUUUAGUGCUGCAGCAAACGCAUUAAGCACUCCGCCUGGGGAGUACGGUCGCAAGACUGAAACUCAAAGGAAUUGACGGGGGCCCGCACAAGCGGUGGAGCAUGUGGUUUUAAUUUCGAAGCAACGCGAAGAACCUUUACCAGGGUCUUGACAUCCUUUCGCUACUUCUAGAGAUAGAAGGUUCCCCUUUCGGGGGACGAAGUGACAGGUGGUGCAUGAUUGUCGUCAGCUCGUGUCGUGAGAUGUGGGUUAGUCCCCGCAACGAGCGCAAACCCUUGAUCUUUAGGUUGCCCAGCAAUUUAG
rnacentral:rRNA from 1 species